rnacentral:rRNA from 1 species
CCUACGGGUGGCUGCAGUGGGGAAUAUUGGACAAUGGGCGAAAGCCUGAUCCAGCCAUGCCGCGUGUGUGAAGAAGGCCUUCGGGUUGUAAAGCACUUUCAGUGGGGAAGAAAGCCUUGGGGCUAAUACCCUCGAGGAAGGACAUCACCCACAGAAGAAGCACCGGCUAACUCCGUGCCAGCAGCCGCGGUAAUACGGAGGGUGCGAGCGUUAAUCGGAAUUACUGGGCGUAAAGCGCGCGUAGGCGGUCUGAUAAGCCGGUUGUGAAAGCCCCGGGCUCAACCUGGGAACGGCAUCCGGAACUGUCAGGCUAGAGUGCAGGAGAGGAAAGUAGAAUUCCCGGUGUAGCAGUGAAAUGCGUAGAGAGCGGGAGGAAUACCAGUGGCGAAGGCGGCCUUCUGGACUGACACUGACGCUGAGGUGCGAAAGCGUGGGUAGCAAACAGGAUUAGAUACCCGAGUAGUC